UACUGAGGGUGCGAGCGUUAAUCGGAAUUACUGGGCGUAAAGCGAGUGUAGGCGGUUGCCUAAGUCGGAUGUGAAAGCCCCGGGCUUAACCUGGGAAUUGCAUUCGAUACUGGGUGACUAGAGUUUGGUAGAGGUAAGUGGAAUUCCGGGUGUAGCGGUGAAAUGCGUAGAUAUCCGGAGGAACAUCAGUGGCGAAGGCGGCUUACUGGACCAAAACUGACGCUGAGGCUCGAAAGCGUGGGGAGCAAACAGG
rnacentral:rRNA from 1 species